rnacentral:rRNA from 1 species
CAGUAGCCACGGUAAUACGAAGGGGGCUAGCGUUGUUCGGAUUUACUGGGCGUAAAGGGCGCGUAGGCGGACUGAUAAGUCAGGGGUGAAAUCCCAAGGCUCAACCUUGGAACUGCCUUUGAUACUGUUUGUCUUGAGUUCGAGAGAGGUAAGUGGAAUUCCGAGUGUAGAGGUGAAAUUCGUAGAUAUUCGGAGGAACACCAGUGGCGAAGGCGGCUUACUGGCUCGAUACUGACGCUGAGGUGCGAAAGCGUGGGGAGCAAACAGGAUUAGAUACCCGCGUAGUCCCUGUCUCUUAUAC